CCUACGGGAGGCAGCAGUGAGGAAUAUUGGUCAAUGGACGAGAGUCUGAACCAGCCAAGUCGCGUGAAGGAUGACUGCUCUAUGGGUUGUAAACUUCUUUUAUAUGGGAAUAAAAUGUUCCACGUGUGGGAUUUUGUAUGUACCAUAUGUAUAAGGAUCGGCUAACUCCGUGCCAGCAGCCGCGGUAAUACGGAGGAUCCGAGCGUUAUCCGGAUUUAUUGGGUUUAAAGGGAGCGUAGGUGGAUUGUUAAGUCAGUUGUGAAAGUUUGCGGCUCAACCGUAAAAUUGCAGUUGAAACUGGCAGUCUUGAGUACAGAAGAGGUGAGCGGAAUUCGUUGUGUAGCGGUGAAAUGCUUAGAUAUCACGAAGAACUCCGGUUGCGAAGGCAGUUCACUGGACUGCAACUGACACUGAGGCUCGAAAGUGUGGGUAUCAAACAGGAUUAGAUACCCCUGUAGUC
rnacentral:rRNA from 1 species